CACGUAGUUAGCAAGCUCUUAUUCCUAUGGUACCGUCAUAAUCUUCCCAUAGAAAAGCAGUUUACAACCCGAAGGCCGUCUUCCUGCACGCGGCAUUGCUGCGUCAGACUUUCGUCCAUUGCGCAAAUUCCUC
rnacentral:rRNA from 1 species